rnacentral:rRNA from 1 species
CGGCGGACGGGUGAGUAACACGUGGGUAAUCUGCCUUAUACAGGGGGAUAACAGUUAGAAAUGACUGCUAAUACCGCAUAAGCGCACGGAAACGCAUGUUUCAGUGUGAAAAACUCCGGCAGUAUAAGAUGAGCCCGCGUCUGAUUAGCUUGUUGGUGGGGUAACGGCCUACCAAGGCGACGAUCAGUAGCCGGCCUGAGAGGGUGAACGGCCACAUUGGGACUGAGACACGGCCCAAACUCCUACGGGAGGCAGCAG